UUUUUAAAAGUGCUGAAUAGCACAGCUACAUCUGUUUUCUACAAUUUGUAGUUAAUUAUAAAUCGUAUAUUAACCUGAUUAUCUGUGCAUAGCUAUGUGAUCUCAUAUGCAUGAUCUGUUUCUUAGAACUUUUUGUCUGAUUUCCAGGAGCCAAAGCAGCAGACUUCUGUUAUAGAGACCAAACAUCCUAACAGAUCACUCUUCCCAUGAUGCCUCCAACAAAGAUGCUGUCGUCACGCAGGAGCCAAAGCAGGUAUUUACCAUCAAAGGGUUUUCUCUAGUGAACUAUACCGAAAGUGAUGAGACGGAUGAGGAGUAUAUUAAAGACAACCCUCCCAGUCCACACUGUGAUGUUGUUCGAAAGAAGACGAGGAAUGGAAACAUUCAGGUGAUUGGAGUAGCUGAUUUUUCUGAUCCUCUGUUUGACUCAAAUGAGAGUAUAGUAGAUGAAACUGAUGAGGAUUCUAGUCUGCAGUCAGACAAUGAAGUUGUUACCUAAAAAAUUUUUAGGUAUGUCUCUGACACUCUGGGUACAUUUCUACCAAAAUACUUUCCCCUAGUACUAAGACUUUCCAUAAGAAUGUCUGACCUGCCUCU
rnacentral:lncRNA from 1 species